CCUACGGGAGGCAGCAGUGGGGAAUAUUGCGCAAUGGGCGAAAGCCUGACGCAGCGACGCCGCGUGAGGGAUGAAGGUCCUCGGAUCGUAAACCUCUGUCAGCAGGGAAGAACGGUCACUGUGCUAAUCAGCAGUGAAUUGACGGUACCUGCAAAGGAAGCACCGGCUAACUCCGGGCCAGCAGCCGCGGUACUACGGAGGGUGCGAGCGUUAAUCGGAAGUACUGGGCGUAAAGCGUUCGUAGGCGGUAUGUCAAGUCAAGGGUGAAAUCCCCGCGCUCAACGCGGGAACUGCCUUUGAAACUGGCAAACUGGAGUGUGUGAGAGGAUAGUGGAAUUCCAGGUGUAGGAGUGAAAUCCGUAGAUAUCUGGAGGAACAUCAGUGGCGAAGGCGACUAUCUGGCACAUAACUGACGCUGAGGAGCGAAAGCGUGGGUAGCAAACAGGAUUAGAUACCCCUGUAGUC
rnacentral:rRNA from 1 species